UCAAGCUAUAAAGAGCGCAAGGGGAAUGCCUUGGCAUCAGGAGCCGAAGAAGGACGUGACAAGCUGCGAUAAGCCACGGGGAGGAGCAAAUAUCCGCUAUAUCCGUGGAUUUCCGAAUGGGGGAACCCGCUUGAGCAAUACUCAGGCAUCGUGCAUUGAAUCAAAUAGGUGUACGAGGGGAACGGUCUGAACUGAAACAUCUAAGUAGGACCAGGAAAAGACAUCAACCGAGAUUCCGCAAGUAGUGGCGAGCGAACGCGGAGGAGGCCAAACCGGAGGAUUUAUUCUCCGGGGUUGCGGACAGACAUCAUGAUCAGAGGAAGCUAGGAGAACGGCAUGGGAAGGCCGGCUAGAAAGGGUGAGAGCCCCGUAUCCGAAAGCAGGAGCUGACAGUCUGGAUCCAGAGUACCGCGGGACACGUGAAACCCCGUGGGAAACCGGGUGGACCACCAUCCAAGCCUAAAUACUACCUGAUGACCGAUAGAGGAGCAGUACCGUGAGGGAAAGGUGAAAAGGACCCCGGGAGGGGAGUGAAAGAGAACCUGAAACCUUGUGCUUACAAGCAGUCAGAGCACGUUAAAGUGUGAUGGCGUACUUUUUGUAGAACGGUCCGGCGAGUUAUAGUAACGAGCAAGCUUAAGGUAUUCAGUACCGAAGGCGCAGCGAGAGCGAGUCUGAAUAGGGCGUAUAAAGUUCGUUGCCAUAGACCCGAAACCGGGUGACCUAUCCAUGAGCAGGCUGAAGUGGAGGUAAAACUCCAUGGAGGGCCGAACCGACCCCCGUUGCAAUGGUGGCGGAUGACUUGUGGAUAGCGGAGAAAUUCCAAUCGAACUCGGAGAUAGCUGGUUCUCCCCGAAAUAGCUUUAGGGCUAGCGUUAGUUUAGAUUACCGGAGGUAAAGCACUGAAUGGUUUAGGGGCUGAUAAAGUUACCGACGCCUAUCAAACUCAGAAUGCCGGCUAAUUGAUGCAUAGCAGUCAGACAGUGUGAGAUAAGUUUCAUUGUCAAAAGGGAAACAGCCCAGACCCACAGCUAAGGUCCCUAAUGCAUGCUAAGUGGAAAACGAUGUGGAAUUGCGAAAACAACCAGGAUGUUGGCUUAGAAGCAGCCACUCAUUAAAAGAGUGCGUAAUAGCUCACUGGUCGAGUGACUCUGCGCGGAAAAUAUAACGGGGCUAAGCAUGCAACCGAAGCUUGGGAUUGUCUAAAGACAGUGGUAGGGGAGCGUCGUGUACGGGGUGAAGUCGCAUCGGAAGGAGCGGUGGACUGUACACGAGUGAGAAUGCCGGAAUGAGUAGCGAGAAUUAUGUGGGAAUCAUAAUGGCCGAAAAUCUAAGGUUUCUUGGGGAAGGUUCGUCCGCCCAAGGUAAGCCGGGAGCUAAGGCGAGGCCGAAAGGCGUAGUCGAUGCACAUACGGUAGAAAUUCCGUAGCCACCGAACUUUAAGUCAGAGGGACACUUUUGGAUAGCGGAACCCGGGCGUUGGUUGACCCGGGCGAAAGGGAGCGAAAAUAUAGUAGCGAAGUCCGCGAUGCUGAGAGGCGAGAAAAGCUCUGAUGGAUACUAAGGUGCCCGUACCGCAAACCGACACAGGUAGAUGAGGAGAGAAUCCUAAGGCCAACGGGAGAAGGGUUGUUAAGGAACUCGGCAAGAUGACCCCGUAACUUCGGAAGAAGGGGAGCCUCGAAAGAGGCCGCAGUGAAUAGGCCCAGGCAACUGUUUACCAAAAACACAGGUCUAUGCUAAAUCGAAAGAUGACGUAUAUGGGCUGACGCCUGCCCGGUGCCGGAAGGUUAAGAGGAGAUGUCAGGCAACGAAGCAUCGAAUUGAAGCCCCGGUAAACGGCGGCCGUAACUAUAACGGUCCUAAGGUAGCGAAAUUCCUUGUCAGGUAAGUUCUGACCCGCACGAAUGGCGUAAUGAUUUGGGCACUGUCUCAACAGCCCGCCCGGCGAAAUUGUAGUACUG
rnacentral:rRNA from 1 species